rnacentral:rRNA from 1 species
GAUGAACGCUGGCGGCGUGCCUAAUACAUGCAAGUCGAGCGAACGGACGAGAAGCUUGCUUCUCUGAUGUUAGCGGCGGACGGGUGAGUAACACGUGGAUAACCUACCUAUAAGACUGGGAUAACUUCGGGAAGCCGGAGCUAAUACCGGAUAAUAUUUUGAACCGCAUGGUUCAAAAGUGAAAGACGGUCUUGCUGUCACUUAUAGAUGGAUCCGCGCUGCAUUAGCUAGUUGGUAAGGUAACGGCUUACCAAGGCAACGAUGCAUAGCCGACCUGAGAGGGUGGUCGGCCACACUGGAACUGAGACACGGUCCAGACUCCUACGGGAGGCAGCAGUAGGGAAUCUUCCGCAAUGGGCGAAAGCCUGACGGAGCAACGCCGCGUGAGUGAUGAAGGUCUUCGGAUCGUAAAACUCUGUUAUUAGGGAAGAACAUAUGUGUAAGUAACUGUGCACAUCUUGACGGUACCUAAUCAGAAAGCCACGGCUAACUACGUG